rfam:Pseudoxanthomonas dokdonensis strain DSM 21858 contig_4, whole genome shotgun sequence.
GGGGGUGCACUGGCUUCGACGGGGGUUGCGAAAUUGCUUGGCGCAUGCCGAGGGGGCGACUUUCCUCGUUAAUCCAGUAGCAAACUUUUAGUUGCCAACGACGACAACUACGCUCUCGCCGCUUAAGGCGUAAGCCCCGAACCCACUUGUGCCCGUGCUCGUGGAUGUAGGGUCAUUAUCACGGAACCGGCUGUGACGGCUGCCUGUCAGUCAUGGCUUAACCGAAACAGGCUGGUUUCCGGGUGCGCUUUGCGUGCCGUGCUGCCCGGCGACGAGAUCUAACGGAACGCUAAGCAUGUAGUGCCGGGGAUGGAGUACCUUCGGACGGCGGUUCGAUUCCGCCCACCUCCACCA